rnacentral:ncRNA from 2 species
GCCUCCGAGGGGUGCUGCAGCGGGGUUGAGUGUCAAUCCUCCGUCAGGCUCGGAUGUUCCAACGGCACCCAUUCAUU